rnacentral:rRNA from 1 species
CAGCCGCCGCGGUAAUACGUAGGUGGCAAGCGUUAUCCGGAAUUAUUGGGCGUAAAGCGCGCGUAGGCGGUUUUUUAAGUCUGAUGUGAAAGCCCACGGCUCAACCGUGGAGGGUCAUUGGAAACUGGAAAACUUGAGUGCAGAAGAGGAAAGUGGAAUUCCAUGUGUAGCGGUGAAAUGCGCAGAGAUAUGGAGGAACACCAGUGGCGAAGGCGACUUUCUGGUCUGUAACUGACGCUGAUGUGCGAAAGCGUGGGGAUCAAACAGGAUUAGAUACCCCAGUAGUCCCUGUCUCUUAUAC